rnacentral:rRNA from 1 species
CGUGUAGGCGGUCAGAUAAGUCUGGUGUGAAAGCCCUUGGCUUAACCAAGGAAUGUCGCUGGAAACUGUCUGGCUUGAGUACGAGAGAGGAGAGUGGAAUUCCCGGUGUAGAGGUGAAAUUCGUAGAUAUCGGGAGGAACACCAGUGGCGAAGGCGGCUCUCUGGAUCGAUACUGACGCUGAUACGCGAAAGCGUGGGGAGCAAACAGGAUUAGAUACCCUGGUAGUCCACGCUGUAAACGUUGGGCACUAGGUGUAGGAGGUAUUGACCCCUUCUGUGCCGAAGCUAACGCAUUAGUGUCCCGCCUGGGGACUACGGCCGCAAGGUUAAA